AAUCAAAAUUAAAUUAUCUGAUAACAGCUCUGGUGGACCUUCCUGCAGUCAGCAUGACAAGUGUACGCUCCCUCAAAACUUGAGACAUAUGUGACAUUGUGUUGUGUGACAAAACUGCACUUUUUUUGUGUGUGUGGCCUUUUUAUUGUCCCCAGCACAAGGUGCACCUGUGUAAUUAUCAUUCUGUUUAAUCAGCUUCUUGAUAUGCCACACCUGUCAGGUGAACGGAUUAUCUUGGCAAAGGAGAAAUGUUCCCUAACAGGGAUGUCAACNNNNNNNNNNAUUAUUAUCUUUGGUCUCUAAAUGAUCUUCUCCACGCGUCAAACCGUUCUGCAGCCUUGCGAGGCCACGUGUGCAUCAAGUACAACAACAACAAAAAAAAUGCAGGCUAGGACAUCCGGUUAAAAAAAACACACAACAAAAAAAAACAGAUAUGGCAAACCGCAUGUGCAUCUGGUGAACAUAUGACAUAAACCAAAACCCCACGUCGGUUUUGCGCCACGAUAAGGAGAAGGAAAACAAAUAGGAAGUAAUGCACGAGUGUAGGGACGUGGUCUAGUGGUUAUCACUUGUUGGACGUAAUUAAAUGUGAGCUGUCUCUUUAAGAGACACGCCGUCGCGAUAAAGUCGUGGCGAGGCUCGCUGCAACCAGCCGGUAGUUUCAGUUCACACAGAAACCACGGUGGAGGCGGCCGCGUAUAGCCGGAGUCUUCUGAGAAAGGAGACCGAAAACCAAGCUGUAGACAGUUAUAUGUCGUUUCCUGUGGAUGACAAUAACGAAUGGCUCGUCGGUGAUGUACUUUCAAUAUCUACAAGACCUUGGGGCAGAGGCCCAGAGACGUGUUUCAGCAGGUUACCAGGAUUACUACACAAAGGCACAACAUUUAUCUGCUUCCUCUAACAAAGGUAAUCUCUGUUUUCACUGUGUGUGUGUGUGUGUGUGUGUGUGUGUGAGAGACUGCUUCUCUGCAUUCUAAUGCUGUUUCUUUUCCUUUAGCUAGUUUUGAGCGGUGAUUGUUUUGCGCACACACACACACACACACACACUUGCACAGCCAACCGCUGAGGCCUUGUUAUCCCUGUUGUCAGAGUGACGCCUGAAGCAUUUUAAGUCACGUGGUGGGAGAGACCCAGCUCUUGUUUGUUUUCCAGUGUUGUAUUUGCACUGAGAUAAUAAGGGUUGAUCCGGGGUAAAGUCCCGUCACCUCAUCUCUGACCAGGGUUGAUCCGGGGGGAAAGGCCCAUCACGUCAUCUCUGACCAGGGUUGAUCCGGGGUAAAGGCCCAUCACGUCAUCUCUGACCAGGGUUGAUCCGGGGUAAAGGAUUGUCACCUCAUCUCUGACCAGGGUUGAUCCGGGGUAAAGGCCCAUCACCUCAUCUCUGACCAGGGUUGAUCCGGGGUAAAGGC
rnacentral:lncRNA from 13 species